rnacentral:misc_RNA from 1 species
GAUGAAGAACGUAGCGAAAUGCGAUACGUAAUGUGAAUUGCAAAUUCAGUGAACCAUCGAGUCUUUGAACGCACAUUGCGCCCCCUGGUAUUCCGGGGGGCAUGCCUGUCCGAGCGUCAUUGCUGCCCUCAAGCACGGCUUGUGUGUUGGGCCCCGUCCUCCGAUCCCGGGGGACGGGCCCGAAAGGCAGCGGCGGCACCGCGUCCGGUCCUCGAGCGUAUGGGGCUUUGUCACCCGCUCUGUAGGCCCGGCCGGCGCUUGCCGAUCAACCCAAAUUUUUAUCCAGGUUGACCUCGGAUCAGGUAGGGAUACCCGCUGAACUUAAGCAUAUCAAUAAGCGGAGGA